AACAAACGCUGGCGGCGUGCCUAAUACAUGCAAGUCGAACGGGGUAGCAAUACCUAGUGGCGCACGGGUGAGUAACGCGUGGAUAAUCUGCCUUAGAGUGGGGGAUAACUAGUCGAAAGAUUAGCUAAUACCGCAUAAGACCACAAGAACUGCGGUUCAAGGGGCCAAAGGUUUUUCGCUUUAAGAUGAGUCCGCGUAAGAUUAGCUAGUUGGUGAGGUAACGGCUCACCAAGGCGACGAUCUUUAACUGGUCUGAGAGGAUGAUCAGUCACACUGGAACUGAGACACGGUCCAGACUCCUACGGGAGGCAGCAGUAGGGAAUAUUGCACAAUGGAGGAAACUCUGAUGCAGCGACGCCGCGUGAGUGAUGAAGGCCUUCGGGUCGUAAAGCUCUGUCGCAGGGGAAUAACACAAUGAAGGUACCCUGUAAGAAAGGAUCGGCUAACUUCGUGCCAGCAGCCGCCGUAAAAC
rnacentral:rRNA from 1 species